ACCAAGUCAUCAACGAAUUUGAUCACAAGCGUUAAAGGUAUAACGCCUCUAGCCAGUCCACACGAACAACAACCUUCAAUGGAGUGCUAGCUCCAAUGGUUUGAAGGGUUAGGAGAAAGGAGGCACAAAAUAAGGAUUAGGGUUUUUCACAAAAACUCUAGAAAGGUGAUUAGGGUUUCUCAAGAGAGGAGAGAACAAAGGCUCAUGAGAAUGAGUAACAAAAGUGUGUAACU
rnacentral:lncRNA from 1 species